CUCAUCACAGCUGAUUUCCUAGACUAGAUGUUGGGAGGGAGGCUGCUGAAGGGAGUAAGAAGAGGCAACUGCUAGGGAUAAUGAAGAGAGAGACAAAAACAGAUUAAAGCCGAUAAACUGAGUGCAAAUACCCUCAAAAGAGAAAGAAUCCCACAGUGUUUUGAGCCACUUAGCGUAAGGAAAACAAAAUCACGUGAACCCAAAGCUCUUGAGAAUGUGAGUAUUGUGGGUAGGAGGGUGUCAUCAGAAAACAGUUGAGAAAAGGCCUUUUGUUUUCCCUUGAUGUUUCCAGUAAGGAUGGGGAGCAGAAGCUAAAACCAACCGCUUCACAGUGGAAGCUGCUGUUUUGUGCAAAACUGACCAAAGGUUGGAAACCAGUCAUCAGCGGUGCUGGCAAAUGAAGAGACUUCUGGAUUGGGUGGGACACUUGCUGUGACUUCCAGAUCCCUCCCUUUUCUCUGCUCUUCCUGUCCAUCUGUCUCCCUCCACUUUUCCCCUCCUCCCCUCCCCCUCCUCUCCUCCCCCUCCCAUCUUCUCCCUCCCUCGCUGCCCCACCUUCCCUCACAGAACCCAGAGGAUCGCUGGCCCUCCUGCGCAUGGGCAGUCAGUGCCAGCUGGACCCCGAGUUGGAAGCUCCAGCUCCGAGCCAGGAAUCGGCCCCAAAACCUUCUCAGCUCUGUCGCCCGGACCAGCUCAGUGGCGUGGGCACUGCUCCCCCGGCUGAGAGCCCCCGGCUGUAACGCCCAGCUUCUCCUAGUGGAGUCGGGAAAAGGGAUCCUCAGUGUUGAGCGAGCUUCUAUCUCCUCCCUCAGUGUUUCUGCCGCAGAUACCCAGCUUUCCCUGCACCAUUCAUUGAAUAGACUAUUCUUUCAAUGGAGUGUUGUUGGCACCCUUGUUGAAAACUGACUGUAAAUAUAAGGAGACUGAGGAUUAAGUCUUCUCUCUUUUUGGGGGAGCUCAUUAUCAAUGACUGGAAGUUGUAAGGAAAAAGAUAUUGAUUCAUCCUGAGAAAACAUUUUUCUGAGAGUCAGCAUUGAAGAGGGUGACCACUGAAGAGGGUGAUCAUUGUUCGAGUGAGACGAGCCCCGUGUUGUACGGAGUCAGCAUCCCAGUCCUGGACACGGUACUGUGCUGCGUGGUGGGUGAGGCAGCGUGGCCACGCAGGGAAUGAGGAUGCCGUGCCGUUGGGCUGUGCUCAGGCCUGGCUCGAUGAGUUUCACUGGAGGGAAUUGAUCUUACAGAAGAUGGACUUAACUCAGGCCUCUUCAGAAUGGACAAAUGAACCUGGAGAAAGACAGUCAAAUCUGUGCAGACAUUGAAGUCCACGUGAACGUGCUGUAUCCCUGAGCCAAAGAUUGGACAAGUAGGCAGCACUUCUUGAGGACAGAGGAGUGGUUUUUAAGGUUCUCCAAGAAUGAAUCCCAGGGAACCGGGAUGGCCAGUUGUCAAACUGUGACUUUGCUCUUUGGACGGUGUGCCCACCAAAGGAGAGGAAAACAAGUCUAAACUUACUUUCCAGUUGGAAAUGGAAUGGAGAGUUAACUUUGGAAGCCGGGAGAGUCUGUCCUGUGAUGAAGCGGUCUCCAAGCCACUUCCACUGGGAUGUCACGUCACUGUCUGGGCCCCUUUCUCAGCCUGUGCACAGGGAGCAGAUUCCUCUGUUUCAGGGAAUACAGGCCUUUCUAGGAAAAGGACAGGAUGAACGUGGAGAGGUGGGGCCGGAGGGGGUCUGGAGCAUCUGCACAGCGCUGCUUCCCUGCAUUUCUGCAUCCGGUCCCAUCAGUGCACGAAGUCAGCCUUCCUCUUCCUUCCUGUGUCAUCAGGUCUCUGUUUUAUGGGAAAACCUUUUUUACGUGUCUUUUUUCACUUACAUGUUUCGUUCAGAUGCUUGUUGCUUU